UCAGGCCUAACACAUGCAAGUCGAACGGCAGCACGGGUGCUUGCACCUGGUGGCGAGUGGCGAACGGGUGAGUAAUACAUCGGAACGUACCUUAUCGUGGGGGAUAACGCAGCGAAAGUUGCGCUAAUACCGCAUACGCCCUGAGGGGGAAAGCGGGGGACCGUAAGGCCUCGCGCGAUUAGAGCGGCCGAUGUCUGAUUAGCUUGUUGGUGAGGUAAAAGCUCACCAAGGCGAUGAUCAGUAGCUGGUCUGAGAGGACGAUCAGCCACACUGGGACUGAGACACGGCCCAGACUCCUACGGGAGGCAGCAGUGGGGAAUUUUGGACAAUGGGGGCAACCCUGAUCCAGCAAUGCCGCGUGAGUGAAGAAGGCCUUCGGGUUGUAAAGCUAUUUUGUCAGGGAAGAAACAGCAGCUCUAACACAGUUUGCGA
rnacentral:rRNA from 1 species